CAGGAAUUCAAGGGGCUGCUGGCAACAAUUACUUUCGCGCCGAUGGCCAGAACACUGGCAAUUUUAUCACGGACCGACCUUCAACUAAGGUGCAUAAUGCCCCUGGAGGUGGUUCCUCCCUUGGGUACCUCUUUGGAGAUGGUGGAAAAAAGUGAUUGCGUAUCGCUGUGCAAAAUGCUGAGAUAUCUAUCCCGAAGCCAAAUUGAAAAAAUUUUAAAAAUAAAGGAAGAUUUUGUUGUUCAGUGUACUGUUGCUUAAGAAUUGAGUUGCUUUGGAAGAAAGUCUGAUCUUAUGUAUCAUACAGCUUAGUGUUGAAAGUUCAGUAGAGUUCAAAAUAUUUCAUCUCUAGAUUAGAGGACUGUUGCUUUAUAUUUGUAUUCCAGUAAUCAAAGAAGUUUUAUGGUUCAGAGAUGCACAACUUAAUAUGAUUUCUACUUGCAUCCGAGCAUCUUGAAAAUCA